rnacentral:rRNA from 1 species
UACGUAGGGGGCAAGCGUUGUCCGGAUUCACUGGGUUUAAAGGGUGCGUAGGUGGGUUUGUAAGUCAGUGGUGAAAUCUCCAGGCUUAACCUGGAAACUGCCAUUGAUACUAUAGAUCUUGAAUUUUCUGGAGGUAAGCGGAAUAUGUCAUGUAGCGGUGAAAUGCUUAGAUAUGACAUAGAACACCAAUUGCGAAGGCAGCUUGCUACAGGAAUAUUGACACUGAGGCACGAAAGCGUGGGGAUCAAACAGG